rnacentral:rRNA from 1 species
UACGGAGGAUGCAAGCGUUAUCCGGAAUGAUUGGGCGUAAAGCGUCCGCAGGUGGCAAUGUAAGUCUGCUGUUAAAGAGUCUAGCUCAACUAGAUAAAAGCAGUGGAAACUACAUAGCUAGAGUACGUUCGGGGCAGAGGGAAUUCCUGGUGUAGCGGUGAAAUGCGUAGAGAUCAGGAAGAACACCAGUGGCGAAGGCGCUCUGCCAGGCCGUAACUGACACUGAGGGACGAAAGCUAGGGGAGCGAAUGGG